rnacentral:rRNA from 1 species
GAUGAACGCUGGCGGCGUGCCUAAUACAUGCAAGUCGAGCGAACUGAUUAGAAGCUUGCUUCUAAGACGUUAGCGGCGGACGGGUGAGUAACACGUGGGCAACCUGCCUGUAAGACUGGGAUAACUUCGGGAAACCGAAGCUAAUACCGGAUAGGAUCUUCUCCUUCAUGGGAGAUGAUUGAAAGAUGGUUUCGGCUAUCACUUACAGAUGGGCCCGCGGUGCAUUAGCUAGUUGGUGAGGUAACGGCUCACCAAGGCAACGAUGCAUAGCCGACCUGAGAGGGUGAUCGGCCACGCUGGGACUGAGACACGGCCCAGACUCCUACGGGAGGCAGCAGUAGGGAAUCUUCCGCAAUGGACGAAAGUCUGACGGAGCAACGCCGCGUGGGUGAUGAAGGCUUUCGGGUCGUAAAACUCUGUUGUUAGGGAAGAACAAGUACAAGAGUAACUGCUUGUACCUUGACGGUACCUAACCAGAAAGCCACGGCUAACUACGUGCCAGCCGCCGCGGUAACAC